rnacentral:rRNA from 1 species
AUUGAACGCUGGCGGCAGGCCUAACACAUGCAAGUCGAACGCGCGGCGGACGGGUGAGUUAUGUCUGGGACACUGCCUGAUGGAGGGGGAUAACCACUGGACACGGUCGCUAAUACCACAUACCAUCAGAUGUGCCCAGAUGGGAUUAGCUAGUAGGUGGGGUCAUGUCUCACAUAGGCCACGACCCCUAGCUGGUCUGAGAGGAUGACCGGCCACCUGGGAACUGAGCCACGGUCCAGACUCUUACGGGAGGCAGAGGUGGGGAAUAUUGAACAAGGGGCGAAAGCCUGAUGCAGCAAGGCGGCGGGUGUGAAGAAGGCCUUCGGGUUGUAAAGAACUUUCAGCGAGGAGGCGUUACUCGCAGAAGAAGCACCGGCUAAUUCCGUGCCAGCAGCCGCGUUAAUUC